GAUGAAGAACGUAGCGAAAUGCGAUACGCAAUGUGAAUUGCAGAAUUCAGUGAAUCAUCGAGUCUUUGAACGCACAUUGCGCCCCCUGGUAUUCCGGGGGGCAUGCCUGUCCGAGCGUCAUUGCUGCCCUCAAGCACGGCUUGUGUGUUGGGCCUCCGCCCCCCGGCUCCCGGGGGGCGGGCCCGAAAGGCAGCGGCGGCACCGCGUCCGGUCCUCGAGCGUAUGGGGCUUCGUCACCCGCUCCGUAGGCCCGGCCGGCGCCCGCCGGCGACCCCCCUCAAUCUUUCCAGGUUGACCUCGGAUCAGGUAGGGAUACCCGCUGAACUUAAGCAUAUCAAUAAGCGGAGGA
rnacentral:misc_RNA from 1 species